rnacentral:lncRNA from 1 species
GAACAAGAAGAUUCUGCAGCUAGCUAUAGCUAUCAAGAGUCAGCAAGAUUUUCUUGCACUGGUAUCCGUGACCUAGCUUGCUUGUCAAGCGGGUUACGCAUACCAUUUGCAUCUAAUUUGACCAUGUUUGGAGUAAAACUUUCAGCCCUCUCCUUGCUGCUACUCACUACAAGAUUUUUAACUAUUGCCUAGAGUUUCCACUAAAUGGCCGACGGGAACUCCAUUACAAUGGGUGACGGUAUUUUAGUAUCAAAGUAGUAUUUC